rnacentral:rRNA from 1 species
GCAAGUCGAACGGUAGUCUUUGAGUUUACUUAGAGAUGAGAGUGGCGAACGGGUGAGUAACACGUGGAUAAUCUGCCUCCGGGUUGGGGAUAACUAUCCGAAAGGGUAGCUAAUACCGAAUAAGAUGGUGGUUGUGUAGGCAACAGCCAUUAAAGGUGGGGAUCGCAAGACCUACCGCCUGGAGAUGAGUCCGCGGCUGAUUAGCUUGUUGGUGGGGUAAUGGCCUACCAAGGCAACGAUCAGUAGCCGGCCUGAGAGGGUGAAC